AAGCAUAGUAAAGACUGAUGGCUAAAGCAGCCAGAUCUGAGAACUCCCGGCUUCUUUUCAAAAUGGUUGCUGCUCUGGUCUGUGCUUUGAAGGCAACGGGCUACUUUUCACCUGGCACUGCAGGCAGGACCCAGCUUCUCUUCUCAACUCACAGCCCUCAGAUCUCUGCUAUUUUUCACCAAGUUUAGGGACUUGGUGCCUGUGCACAGCAAAUGCCCUGUAAAUGUGCAGGAGCAGAUUUUGGAGCUCAGAGAGCUGACUCUUCAGAGACCAUGGUGCCAGAAAGAUUCCCAUGUCCGUCGCAUUGCUGAGAGCCAAAGAGAACCAAGAGCACUUUCAGUUCAAAGAAUAUUAAAAAAAAAAAACAAACCAAAC